GGGAAGCCUGGACUUGUUUAUCGUGUUUGUUCGGAACUUCACCCGCGGUACAGUACGGCCUGAGCAUUUUGUUCCAGCACCGGUGUGAGACAUCCAUCUAUCCUUUCAUUCAGGAAAACAUCUGAGCCCAUGAAUUGCCAGAUCCUGGAUACCAGAGACACAUCGUCUUGCUUCUCAGGUUUGGAGUACAUAAUGAGGAGAAAUAAAAACAAAAAGAUCUCCAGAAAGAAGCCAUGGUAAGAUUCAAGGUUUCACAGUCCAAGCUAAUGCCUGUGGACACUUGACCAAGUGAUCUGAGAAAAUUGGAUUCCUGGCAAAACAAGUGUACCUAGACUCAGGCAAGGGUGGAGCACAGAGGACGACUAGAUUAAAUGCAAAGACUGCCCAGGCAUCCCAGUGCCCCCCAUUGACGUUCCAGAACUUCGUCAAGACAGUGAUGAGCUACAUGUCCACCUGGAGGAGGACCAUGCAGAAUACCUUCCAGCGCCAUGAACACUAGUCAGUCAGUAAUGCUGAACUUCUCGUUGUGCUCCAGCUCAGUUUUCUCAUGUUUGAUGAUAGUUCAGGAUCAAGCUCAGAAGCUCACAGCUGCCAGCAAGCACUCUACUACUGAACUGCACCAUCUCUCCAGCCCAUGCUUACUCUUGACUAGCCCCAAAGUAGUCAAUGGUGUGGGCCCUGAAAGGAACUGUAUACCUGCUCUGCCCCUAACUGCUUCUGCCUCUACCUCAAUGUACCGUGACUGUUUGACAAGGUUGCUCUGGCUCAGGCUGAGGAAUUGACUCCACACUUACCCUGACCCCUGGCAUAUCCACAUCUGGUCCUGUGUAGUCACCAACCCCAGAGAACAAGUUACAAGAAAUUAAAGACACGGAAUUCCAAAGGACAAUACAUGUUCAACAAGCUCAAACAAUUCAGAGAGGGCACAGAAUGAAAUUAAAGACAACAGGAAUAAAAUGAUGGGAGUCCAAGUAUACAAAAACACAUCUCAGCAAAACAUGGA
ensembl:processed_transcript 5530601H04Rik uncharacterized LOC110287359